UCCCUGAUAGCUCAGUUGGUAAAGAAUUUGCCUGCAAUGCAGGAGACCCUGGUUUGAUUCCUGGGUUGGGAA
rnacentral:tRNA from 1 species